CGAAGGUGUCUCUAACUAUUUUCACUGGUAGGUCGCUCGUUAUUUACUCCAGCAUGCCACCACAGUUCUCUAACUUUAUCUUUGCACUUCCUAGCAAUAUUACGAACUCAAUAUAUUUAAUUACAUACGUAUACGGGCAACACCUCAAUCAAUUAAUCCUUACUCAAAUUUAUAUUUUCAUCCUAUCAUGAAAUCAUCUUCAAUUAACUCACAUCUUAAUACAUUUUUACCAAAAUUACUUACAUCCAUUGCUUACGAAAUUCCUUAGAUUAUAUCACUGGCAACUUAUUUAUGAUGUCACGUGCCUACUUCAACCUUUCUAAAUAAUUUUUGCCUAAAUCCAUCUUAUAUUUCCACACAUAAUCCACAUAUAUGGCAACAACAAUUAUUCUCACUUUCACUCAAUUAUUUCCUAGUUUACACACAUUGUUAUCUACCUAACUUUCAAUACUUUGUUUCUUAAUCCUCCAUCCACAAUAUUCCUUUUUUUAUUUCUUUCAAACAACAUGCCAUACAAUCUUAACAAUUUUCAACUAGCUUAGGCAAAUAAAUCCUUUCAACAACCAUAGUUCCUCACAAUAUUCCACUAACUGUAGGCUUUAAAACAUAGUGUUAAUCUUACCGUUUUCCUUUUCCACUUUCAAUCCUUCAUGUACCCAUGGGUUUAUUAGCUUACAUGUUACCAAUUUUUCUCCAAUGAAGCCAAUCUUUGCUGCCACUAGACAUUUCUCUAAGUCACUAACUCAUUUUCAAAUACUACUCAAGCCAAAAAUAAGAAUUCUUACCGUUCCUUGCUUGAAUCACCAAAACCAAGCUUUUUCUUCCUUUCUCUCUUUUUCUUUCUUCUCCUCUUAGGGUUUUGGUGUGCUGGAAAUUGGGGUUAAAGGCUGCAAAGUUAAUGGUCAAGAAGUUUGGAGAAGAAAGGAAAAGAAAACAUAGAAAGGAAAGUGAAGAAAACUUGAUUUCAUGGUGGAUAAAGAGAAAAUGGCAUGGAAGCUUCAAGAAUGGCAUGGAGCAUGGAUGAAGAAGAAGAAAAAUCUGCUGGGGGAAAGGAUAAGGUCAAUCUUUGCCUAAAAAAAUCAGAGUCAAAGCUUCCUUUGGAAGCUUUGACCAAACUUUACAUAAAAUUACUGUUUUGCCCUAUUUUUGUUUCCUUCCAUUUUAUUUUAGUCCUCC
rnacentral:lncRNA from 1 species